rnacentral:rRNA from 1 species
GACGAACGCUGGCGGCGUGCCUAAUACAUGCAAGUAGAACGCUGAAGGAGGAGCUUGCUUCUCUGGAUGAGUUGCGAACGGGUGAGUAACGCGUAGGUAACCUGCCUGGUAGCGGGGGAUAACUAUUGGAAACGAUAGCUAAUACCGCAUAAGAGUAGAUGUCGCAUGACAUUUGCUUAAAAGGUGCAAUUGCAUCACUACCAGAUGGACCUGCGUUGUAUUAGCUAGUUGGUGAGGUAACGGCUCACCAAGGCAACGAUACAUAGCCGACCUGAGAGGGGGAUCGGCCACACUGGGACUGAGACACGGCCCAGACUCCUACGGGAGGCAGCAGUAGGGAAUCUUCGGCAAUGGACGGAAGUCUGACCGAGCAACGCCGCGUGAGUGAAGAAGGUUUUCGGAUCGGGAAGCUCUGUUGUAAGAGAAGAACGAGUGUGAGAGUGGAAAGUUCACACUGUGACGGUAUCUUACCAGAAAGGGACGGCUAACUACGUG